AGGAUAAACGCUGGCGGCGUGCCUAAAACAUGCAAGUCGAACGGGUGACUUCGGUCACCAGUGGCGAACGGCUGAGUAACGCGUGGGUGACCUCGCUCCGAGUGGGGAUAACUGCCCGAAAGGGUGGCUAAUACCGCAUGAGCUCGUGGGAUCGUUCCUACGAGCAAAGUCGCAAGACGCUCGGAGAUGGGCCCGCGUCCGAUUAGCUUUGGUUGGUGGGGUGACGGCCUACCAAGGCGACGAUCGGUAGCUGGUCUCAGAGGAU
rnacentral:rRNA from 1 species